GACAGAGGGUGCAAACGUUGUUCGGAUUUACUGGGCGUAAAGCGCGCGUAGGCGGAGCGUUCAGCGUGGCCUGAAAGCCCCCGGGCUCAACCGGGGAAGGUGGCUGCGUACUGGCGCUCUUGAGGACGGCAGAGGAGGGUGGAAUUCCUGGUGUAGCGGUGAAAUGCGUAGAGAUCAGGAGGAACACCAAGGGCGAAGGCAGCCCUCUGGGCCGGCCCUGACGCUGAGGCGCGAAAGCGUGGGGAGCGAACGGGAUUAGAUACC
rnacentral:rRNA from 1 species